rnacentral:rRNA from 1 species
UGGGGAAUAUUGGACAAUGGGCGCAAGCCUGAUCCAGCAAUGCCGCGUGUGUGAAGAAGGCCUUCGGGUUGUAAAGCACUUUUAUCAGGAGCGAAACGCUGUCGGCUAAUACCCGGCGGAACUGACGGUACCUGAGGAAUAAGCACCGGCUAACUUCGUGCCAGCAGCCGCGGUAAUACGAAGGGUGCAAGCGUUAAUCGGAAUUACUGGGCGUAAAGCGUGCGUAGGCGGUUUCUUAAGUCUGCUGUGAAAUCCCCGGGCUCAACCUGGGAAUGGCAGUGGAUACUGGGAGGCUAGAGUGUGUCAGAGGGUGGUGGAAUUCCCGGUGUAGCGGUGAAAUGCGUAGAGAUCGGGAGGAACAUCAGUGGCGAAGGCGGCCACCUGGGACAACACUGACGCUGAGGCACGAAAGCGUGGGGAGCAAACAGGAUUAGAUACCCUGGUAGUCCACGCCCUAAACGAUGCGAACUGGAUGUUGGUCUCAACUCGGAGAUCAGUGUCGAAGCUAACGCGUUAAGUUCGCCGCCUGGGGAGUACGGUCGCAAGACUGAAACUCAAAUGAAUUGACGGGGGUCAUAGCUG